UCUGUUUUUGGACCAUGGGGAAUUGAAACUACAGAAACCAAAACCACAGUUAAGGGACUACUGUCUCAUUUAACCCUUAAAAUAACCCAAUAAUAACAUUGGGAUGGUGAAGGGAACAGCCCCAGUGAUUCAUGAGGGAUACUAUUUCUUAAUAGGUUUUAAUGCAUCUGUUAAAUGAUAGUUUAUGUACUAAUGAGAGAGAGAGAGAGACCUAAAUGUGAAGUGACCUCUUAUUCAUAAGGAGUCUAUCAGAUAUCUUCACGCUUCGACAGCACUUGGCAUCAUCACAGGGCUCAAUACAGCAUUAGAAAUUGGGUGCACAAUAGGAACUCGAUCUGUCUCCAGAAAUGCAGGAAGCCAAAUCUCAAUUGACCUGGUUUUGAGAAUUUCAUAGCUUUGGAACUCCGUCCUUUUCUAUGUUCCUGAUAAGUAGUCUUGGCACAAAUAAAACUCCUGUGGACACACAUCAGAAGGGUCUUGAACCAAGAAGACUACAUUGGCUGAAUCCGAGCAAAAAUGGUUAACAAGUGGGCAGAGCAGAUAUUCGCCAAACAGGAGCUGGAAAAACAACAGGUCACCGGCCUGGAAUUACAGCAGGAGAUGGAGGGGAAAUCGGACGCAAGAACACGACCAGUCAGAAUUACCCUCCCUAGUUCCCCGCCCCCUCUUCCUAAGCUUUCUGCCCUCCCACCCCCUAAAUAAUGUAUAUAUUUAU